rnacentral:rRNA from 1 species
ACAGAGGGUGCAAACGUUGUUCGGAAUUACUGGGCAUAAAGAGCACGUAGGUGGUUCGCUAAGUCACGUGUGAAAUCCCCCGGCUUAACCUGGGAACUGCGUCUAAUACUGGACGGCUUGAGUAUGGGAGAGGGAUGUAGAAUUCCAGGUGUAGCGGUGAAAUGCGUAGAUAUCUGGAGGAAUACCGGUGGCGAAGGCGGCAUCCUGGACCAUUACUGACGCUGAGGCGCGAAAGCUAGGGGAGCAAACGGGA